AAAAGAAGUAAAGCGAUAUGGAGAAACCGGGUCAGUCGAAAGAAUUAGAAGCCAACAAGCUGUUCGAAGCUAUGUUCCGAGCAUUUCAUCUCGCGCUGUGAUCCAACGAAAGAUCACCCACUACCAUCCAUAUUUCACCACAAGAUUUUUAAGACCACUAACUUUGACCAAUCAUCAGAUGCAUCAAAAGAAGUAACUGACAAUCUCCAUUUGAAUACUGAUUCAGAAAAUACAGGCAUAUCAGAUUCAGAACGUUCAGAUUCAGCUGAAAAUUCAAGCUUUAAUGUUGAUGCAAACCUAUCUGUGUUGGACACAUCCGUAUUAAUGCACGAUUACUGUGACUCCAUAGAAUUUGCAACUAUGUCCCAUUUGAAGAAUCAAUUCACAAAAGUAGAUGUUCCACAGAAAGAAAAUGUUUGUAUUCAGACUGCAGAAAGCUUUUGUGACACUUCUAGGAAAAUUUCAGUUUCUUCAAAUAUUUCUUGUGACAGUAGUACUAGUGCAGCCUUACCUUUCUUAACAAUGAAGACUUGCAACAGGAUGUUUCAUUUUACACAGGUUUGCCAAACAAAGAGACAUUUUAUUUACUGUUUCAACAUCUAACAUCGUAUGAAAAGUGUGCAGAUUCUGAUACAGGAGGAAGACCGAAGAAGAUGCGAGACGUGGAUGAAUUUCUUAUGGUACUAAUGCGUUUAAGACUAGAACUAUUGCUUCAAGAUUUAGCAAGAAGGUUUGAUAUAUCAAUGUCUACUUGCAGUAACAUAUUUAAUGAAUGGUUAUAUUU